rnacentral:rRNA from 1 species
UGGGGAAUAUUGGGCAAUGGGCGAAAGCCUGACCCAGCCAUGCCGCGUGAGUGACGAAGGCCUUAGGGUUGUAAAGCUCUUUUGGCGGGGACGAUAAUGACGGUACCCGCAGAAUAAGCCCCGGCUAACUUCGUGCCAGCAGCCGCGGUAAUACGAAGGGGGCUAGCGUUGUUCGGAAUCACUGGGCGUAAAGCGCACGUAGGCGGACUUUCAAGUCAGAGGUGAAAUCCCGGGGGCUCAACCUCGGAACUGCCUUUGAUACUGUUGGUCUCGAGUACGGAAGAGGUGGGUGGAAUUCCUAGUGUAGAGGUGAAAUUCGUAGAUAUUAGGAAGAACACCGGUGGCGAAGGCGGCCCACUGGUCCGGUACUGACGCUGAGGUGCGAAAGCGUGGGGAGCAAACAGGAUUAGAAACCCCAGUAG